GCUGGGCAUGGUGGCUCAUGCCUGUAAUCCCAGAACUUUGGGAGGCCAAGAUGGGCGGAUCACCUGAGGUCAGGAGUUCAAGACCAGCCUGACCAACAUGGUGAAACCCCAUCUCUA
ensembl:misc_RNA Metazoa_SRP Metazoan signal recognition particle RNA